rnacentral:lncRNA from 1 species
AUGCACACCAAGAAGACUGACGGGAAGGAUUCACAUGUUCAAAUGGCCCAUGCCCCUCUGAGUGAAGGGCUAAGUUUGAUCUUUGAUCAGGAUGCCCAAUCCAGCUCUUCCUGUUCUCGUUACCCAUCUAGAAGUAGUCAUACCAGUAGCCAGUCCUCUGGCUCUAGACGACAACUUAAGCGAAAUAAUGCUCGUAGGGGACGUCACAGGUCCUCCACCAGUUCUUCGUCCUCCAGAUCAUCCCACUCAUCCAACAGCAGCACUCGGACCCGUCCCAGGUCCCGGUCACACCCGCGCUGCCAAAGAGCCUCCUCCAGCUCACGCUGCUGCCGUCAACAUCAACAGGCACAUGGACAUAGGCGCCACCGCUCACCAUCACGCUGUUACAGGGCACACUCGCGCUCCUACAGCCCUUCCUCUUCCCCAGACAGGCCAAACCGCCACAGUUCCCGCUCCAGGUCAGCCAGCUGGAGCAGGGUUCAUAGGGGGUUUGUGGGCAGGUACAAGUGCACGUUUUCUGGAUCACCCAACAGAAGCCACAAGACCUACACGAGCCGCUCCACAUCUUCAGGACAAUCAUUUGUCAGCCUCCAUAUAGAGAAAAAGGGGGAACUCAGGACUACGAAUGCCACCCAGGCACUGGGGAUGGAGCAACUGGACCUUCCUGAGAGUGUGACGCCCAUCCUGGAGGAGCAGCAACUGAAAACCGGACUAGCCACACCAGAACCAGAGGAACGGGUGAGACCAGAGCCACUCCCUCAAAAUAGUUUAUCACAGCAGAACAGUGACAUAGAGCCCGAGGAUGCACCAAGCCCUAAUAUGUCUCCCAAGAAAAAUAUGAUCUCAUUCAGUAUUCAUAAUUCAGUGGCCAAGCCCACAGCCAUUGUUGCUUCCACCACAUCAAAGGUAGCACACAGAGUGGAGAACUACACAGCGAGCAGGAACCCCUUUGGUCACUGGGUCCCAGUCAGAAAAACGGACCAAUCCUCCUUUUCUCGCACUUUGCUCAAACACUAA